UCUCUUACAGGCAAUCGGUAAAUUGAUCUCCCUGUGCAAAAGCAGGGAUAACUACAUAAGACGAGAAGACCCUGUGGAACUUCAAAACCAGCAGCCACCCCAAAACACAUACACCCCCACUGGGCUCACUGACAUACUGGGAGACUGGCCUGCGUUUUUCGGUUGGGGCGACCUUGGAGAAAAACAAAUCCUCCAAAAAUUGGACCAUCCAUCCAGACUAAGAGCAACUCCUCAAAGUGCUAAUAGUAUCCAGACCCAAUAUAAUUGAUCAAUGGACCAAGCUACCCCAGGGAUAACAGCGCAAUCCCCUCCGAGAGUCCGUAUCGACGAGGGGGUUUACGACCUCGAUGUUGGAUCAGACAUCCUGGUGGC
rnacentral:rRNA from 1 species